UCUCCUCUCCUUCCCUCUCUUCUUCUUCUUUCUUUUUCCGGUGACCGGCCGGCGACCUCCCGAGCAGCUCCUCACCUGGCCGGCGACCCUCUGGCGACGGCCAUAACCACCAGAAACGGCGGCAAGAGAGGGAGAAGAGAGAGAAAACGCGCGCACAGUGGGCAGCAGCUUUCCGGCGUGAUUCCGGCUUCAUCCGACGUCCGAUCGAGGCGAUUCAGGUGGCGUUGGAAAGCUUGUUCCGAGACCUUUCUUUUGAUACCAAUUUUGCAACAAAUGGAGGUCGGAUGAGUGAGAUAUGGAGGAGAGAAGUUUCGGAUUUUUCAAGCUUUUUCGUCAGAUCUACGACGAUCCGACCGUUGGAUCGACAAUCCGAGACCACAUAUGGACUGAGGAAGAGGAGAGGAACAUGGUGGUAUGAUCAGAUCCGGCAAAUGUAGCCGGCGACCGGCGGCCGGCCACCGUGCGCGGUGGUUCCGGCGGUGGCUCCGACAGGCUAUGGAGGUGAUUCAACUUCCAGAGGCUUUCUCAUAAAUUUUUGGAAUUUUUAAGACACAGAUAAACUUCGGGUGAUCGAGGUCAGCUAUUUUUCUGCAUCCAGCAGCCACAAUAGUCAUCGGUGUACUGCCACAGGAGGAGUUAUUUUACAGAGCAACCUGUUUUCUUCCUCGCACGUUUAACGUCGAUUAUUUAAUUGUUUUACUAUCUUUUCUAAAUUUAAAAUCUAGAACUCCGCAUGUGAUAGUAAUAGUGUAGACCUUGUUAGAAAUUGUGUUAAUUUAAAAUUUUGAGACUAAUAAAUGAAGAUUUGUAUGGUAUUUAAACAGUUUGUAAAUGAGGUAACAGGGUUGAGCGAGGCUCCCCUUAUUUCAGUUUUUGAUGGCUAUCGGGUAGGGUUGACCCGAAUAAAAAUAUUUUAUUUUAUUUAAUUUUAUUUACAUAUUGGGCCUAAGUUUUUGGGCAUUGGUUAUAAAUUUGAAAACAGUAAGGCUUACUACGGGCCUCGGGGGCUUUAUGCCGGCCUAGGUCCUAGUGCCGGUCCGGCCCAUAGGUUGGGUCGUGACAAUAAGGUCUCGUACUAAAGCCAUUGAUCCAAAUAGAAAAUUAAGCCACCGAGGGGAAGGCUUUAACUACACCAUUUUGCCAACUUGAUCUAAUUGAUUGUUCAAAUGAGAAGUUUCAAAAUACACUGCGAAGAAUAGUACGAGAAACAAAUUUAUACUAAAACCAAAUAUUAAUGACAAGCAAUCCAAAAUCAAGGAUUAAACUUGAAUGAUUCAAGAUUUGGAUUCUUCUAUCCGGUAUUUAAAGAUCCUAAUACAUUUCAAGAAGUAAAAAAUAUAAGAAAUUGAAAAAAACCACACUUUUAGGCCUAAGCAUAAUUUUGAUUUUACAUUAUUAAAGGGUAUUUGAUGAAACUAAAGUAUUUGAGAGAAAUCUUUAUAUUUUCAUAUAUAAGAAAUUCUUUGUACAUGCUCCUAUUUAUAUACAAGUAAUUUAGGAUAAAUUUUGAUAACUAUUUCUGAACUUAUCUAAUUAUAACAUUACAGUCCCUCAACUUAAAAAUGUAAUAUAAAACCCCAUCAACUUUCAAAUUUUACACAGUAAAAUCCCUCUAACCUCCAAUUAUCAGUUUUUCAGUUAAACGCUGACCUAGACAGUUUCAACAUGAAGCUUAGUCAGUAUUUCUCUUUUCUUUCUUAAGCCAUGUGUAAAUUGAAUCAUUUUUCUCUCUAUAGACAGAAUAAUUUUUCAUGCGUGAAGAGAAUAAUUUUACACUUUGCAUAAGAGAAGAGAGAGAAAUAUUGAUUAAGUGCUAUGUGAAAGCUAUUUACAUCAGUUUCUAACUGAAAAAUCAGUAAUUGAAAGUUAGAAGGAUUUUACUGUGAAAAAUUUAAAAGUUUAGGGAGUUUUAUGCUACAUUUUAAAGUUAAAGGACUGUAGUGUUAUAACUAUAUAAGUUCAGGGACAGUUGUUGAAAUUUAUCCAAGUGAUUUAUUCUAAUAAGGAAAUUAAAGUAAAUAGGAAAUAAUAUUACAAUUCUAUUU